AGGGAAUCUUCCACAAUGGACGCAAGUCUGAUGGAGCAACGCCGCGUGAGUGAAGAAGGCUUUCGGGUCGUAAAGCUCUUUUACCCGGGAUGAUAAUGACAGUACCGGGAGAAUAAGCUCCGGCUAACUCCGUGCCAGCAGCCGCGGUAAUACGGAGGGAGCUAGCGUUGUUCGGAAUUACUGGGCGUAAAGCGCACGUAGGCGGCUAUUCAAGUCAGAGGUGAAAGCCCGGGGCUCAACCCCGGAACUGCCUUUGAAACUAGAUAGCUUGAAUCCAGGAGAGGUGAGUGGAAUUCCGAGUGUAGAGGUGAAAUUCGUAGAUAUUCGGAAGAACACCAGUGGCGAAGGCGGCUCACUGGACUGGUAUUGACGCUGAGGUGCGAAAGCUUGGGGAGCAAACA
rnacentral:rRNA from 1 species